rnacentral:rRNA from 1 species
CCUACGGGUGGCAGCAGUGAGGAAUAUUGGUCAAUGGGCGGGAGCCUGAACCAGCCAAGUCGCGUGAGGGAAGACGGUCCUAUGGAUUGUAAACCUCUUUAGGCGGGGAGCAAUGCCGGGCACGCGUGCCCGGAGGGAGAGUACCCGCAGAAUAAGCAUCGGCUAACUCCGUGCCAGCCGCCGCGGUAAUACGGGGGAUGCGAGCGUUAUCCGGCUUUAUUGGGUUUAAAGGGUGCGUAGGCGGAGUUUUAAGUCAGCGGUAAACUGUCCGGGCUCAACCCGGGCCGGCCGUUGAAACUGGGGAUCUUGAGUGGGCGAGAAGUAUGCGGAAUGCGUGGUGUAGCGGUGAAAUGCAUAGAUAUCACGCAGAACUCCGAUUGCGAAGGCAGCAUACCGGCGCCCGACUGACGCUGAGGCACGAAAGCGUGGGGAUCGAACAGGAUUAGAUACCCCGGUAGUC